rnacentral:rRNA from 1 species
AACGCUGGCGGCAUGCCUAAGACAUGCAAGUCGUACGAAGCGGCCCAAUGAAGAUUGCGUGCUUGCACAAAAUUGGAUUUGGAUUUCCGCUUAGUGGCAAACGGGUGAGUAACACGUGGGUUACCUACCUCUAAGUUGGGGAUAACGAUUGGAAACGAUCGCUAAUACCGAAUGUGCUCUACGGAGUAAAGAAGCCUUUAAAGCUUCGCUUAGAGAUGGGCCUGCGGCGCAUUAGCUAGUUGGUGAGAUAAUAGCCCACCAAGGCGACGAUGCGUAGCCGAACUGAGAGGUUGAUCGGCCACAUUGGGACUGAGACACGGCCCAGACUCCUACGGGAGACAGCAGUUAGGAAUAUUCGUCAAUGGGGGGCAACCCUGAACGAGCAAUGCCGCGUGAGCGAUGAACCGGUCCUCUGGAUUGUAAAACUCUGUUGUUUAGGAAAAAUUGCACAAAUAGGAAAUGAUUUGUGUUUGAUGGUACUAUUCAAGAAAGCCACGGCUAACUACGUGCCAGCAGCUGC